UUGAUACUCCCUUCGUCCGAAAAAUCUUGUCCCUCAAACGGAUGUAUCUAGCACCAAGUUAGUGCUAGAUACAUCCAUUUGAGAAACUGCCUUGGGACAAUUUUUUUCGAACAAAAGGAGUAGAAA
rfam:Triticum aestivum genome assembly, contig: Triticum_aestivum_CS42_TGACv1_scaffold_307754_4AS